rnacentral:lncRNA from 1 species
AAUUCCAUUUUAAAUUUGACAAAAAUGAGUAGCAGCAUGUGAUCGGGUAGAUUAUUCCUUGUCAUUAAAGGUAUGCAUUUUUUUUUUGAAUUUUCAGCCGACAGGAUAUUCAUUUAUGUUAUUAUUUCCAAUAAUGUCCAAAAAACAUUUAAAGAAUCAUAACCGUAUCGAACCAAUUGAUUCGGCUUCAUGCUAUAUUGCUGGAGAUUUGGACUGAUUUUUAUGUUUGUAAAACAUUUCAUCUCUGAUUCGUUAAAAGAAAAAACGAUACCGUUUGAGAUCAUUACAUUAAUCAAUUACUAGGAAGGGUAAACAAAAUCCGAUAUCAUUGUUGUUAAAGGCCAUGUUGCUAACAUUCACUAGUUUCUUUCUUAGUUGAUGGUUGUUUUAUUGGCAAUCAUACAACAUAUUCUUAUCAUCAAGAUAACUCUGCAGAAAGGCAUGUGGUAAGUUUCAUCAGAAAGAUUGAACAAAUAUACACUGCAGAAACUAGAUAAAAAAAGAAAAUAAAUGCUAUGUUUCGAAAAGGGAAAAAAAUCCUGAAAUAUGAUCGUCUCACAGAAGAUGCAAAAAAUGACUUAAAUAAGGCCGUUAGUUUUCUCGUUUGAAUUUUAUACAUUGUCAUUUCGAGGCCUUGUAUAGCUGACUCUGCGGUAUGGGCUUUGCUCAUUGGCCGUACGGAAAUCUAUAGUUAAUUUCUGUGUCAUUUUGGUCUCUUGUGGUAAAUAGUCUAAUUCGGUAGGUCACAUUCAUGAAAGGGAAGGGAUUGUAGUUACGACGUAAGGAACAUAUCUGAUAUAUUUGUGAAACGGUCAACCAAAUCGUGAUGUCGUCCGUAAAAUUUACGAAGGAAUGAGUUCAACUUCACCAUUUGGAACUCUUGGUUUAAAAGAUUCCUUGUGAGCAGCAACCCUCAAUCAAGACAAUCAUGAAAGGAAA